UGACCAAAAUGGUCAGUUGAACACUUUAGGAGUUAUUGCCCUUUAUAGUCAAUUUUUAACCAUUUUUCGUAAAUCUUAGUAAUCUUUUAGAAAAGUCUUCUCCUCUGAAACUACUGGGCCAAAUUUAACCAAACUUGGCCAUAAUCAUCAUUGGGGUAUCUAGUUUAAAAAAUGUGUCCGGUGACCCGGCCAACCAACCAAGAUGGCCGCCAUGGCUAAAAAUAGAACAUAGGGGUAAAAUGCAGUUUUUGGCUUAUAACUCAAAAACCAAAGCAUUUAGAGCAAAUCUGACAUGGGGGGGUAAAAUUGUUCAUCAGGUCAAAAUCUAUCUGCCCUGAAAUUUUCAGAUGAAUCGGACA
rnacentral:lncRNA from 1 species